GGAAUGUUUCUCUCUUCCUUUAAAAAUAAAAUCUUUUGGGGGCGCCUGGGUGGCGCAGUCGGUUAAGCGUCCGACUUCAGCCAGGUCACGAUCUCGCGGUCCGUGAGUUCGAGCCCCGCGUCGGGCUCUGGGCUGAUGGCUCGGAGCCUGGAGCCUGUUUCCGAUUCUGUGUCUCCCUCUCUCUCUGCCCCUCCCCCGUUCAUGCUCUGUCUCUCUCUGUCCCAAAAAUAAAUAAACGUUGAAAAAAAAAAUAAAAUAAAAUCUUUUGGUUCUUCUGGAAGUUACGGAGAAGACCGAAGGGGGUGAAGCAGAGAAGGAAGAAGGACAAGAGACAUUUGGCACUGGAAAAUGACUCCCUGCGUGUGGAAAAUGUUUUAGUAGUUUCUCCGAGGCAGGACUUGAAGCAGAGAAAUCAUGCAGAAAAGCACAUGGAAAAUCAAGCAAAAUAUUUUUAGCUAGUUGACCUUUUUUGUAAGAGUAGUAUCUCCUUUAUAAGGAAAAAUUACCCGAAGAAUGUUCUGGUACUAAUAGUUGGAAGGGAGGCCAGAGCGGGAAUAAGCCAGAGGUAAAAAUAACCAAGUUCAUGGCACACGUUUGUGGGGCCUGGGGGCGCAGCACCCAUCUUUCUGAACUGGGUGAUACUGGGGCUCUGUUCUUGCAUCUGGUGUUACUGCCUCCCUGGCCCUGCUGGGACGUGUCUCAGAAGCACGGCUCCGUUCUCAAAUGUUCCCUUCCAGCUCCCUCCCUCCCUCCCUCCCUCCCUCUACUCAUUUUUCUUUACUGUGUUCAGGAAAGGGCAGCACCUGGGAGGUGGUCUUGAGAACACAGUCGUGAGAGUCACAAUGGCCUGAACUUGAGUCCAGGCUCUGCCUACUCUAUGAGUGGCCUUGGGCAAGAAAAGCUCCUUGAGGACCAACAUCACCAUCUCUUCUGCUUUGGAAAUGAACCAGAAGUAUUUAUCCCGUGGCCCUGGGACGUCAACCUUUCACUUUACGGAACCGAACCGCGGGACGUUGAAGUCCAGCUAGGGGGAAACCAGACACACAAGGGAAAUGAUGAGGGAGGAAGGCGGGUCUGGACCCUGAAUGCUUGUUGUGCACCAGGCACUAUGUCCUGCAUCUCAUGUUGCGUCUGUCUCAUUUUAAUCCCCCGCAGAGUUACGAGCGGGAAGUCUUUGCCUCUUUUUGGUAAAGAUGUGAAUGUUGAUUAGCAAGAAUCAACCCAGGUGCAUGGGCAUCAAACCCACGUAGGCGUUGACUGUUAGAAUAACCCUGCCACUCCCCCACCCCACCUUGUGACUUUCCUGAUAACCUUGGGAAGCAAGGGCAGACCUACCGUUAACACUGUUUUAUGUAUUAGGAAAAUACGACCCAGGAAAUACUGGAUCAUUCAUGUACACACUCGAUGUCAGACAGUAAGUCAGUUCUCAAACCGAGUGAGGUGUUUUGGCUGUUGAUCUGAUAAUCAGACAUUCAGAUGCCGUUUAGAUAUUCAUAUUCUCAGGAAGUGACUCUCAGGAUGGUGUCCCUGCACUGCGGGUGGCUUUGACUUUGAAGCGGGGUUUUGGAAUGCUACGUUUCGUGUGUGAGAUGGGGGCCCUUUGGUCACAAUGGUGUCAGCCAUCGUCUGACAGUAGUGGACCCAGCAUGGGUUUGGGAGUCAGAAGAUAGAAUCCUGGCCCUGGCUCUGCCACAGACUGGCUGGAUGACCUUGGGGACUUGAUUCUUCCUGGUCCUAUGUUUCUCCUCCGCAAAUAGAAGACACUGCGCUUCAUGAUUUCUGAGACUUGUUAAAAAAUCUGAUGCUGUGCGUCAGAAUCGCUGAAUGGCCCCGAGGGACUGGUAAGAAGCCCAGAGGCAUAUGGAGGCGGAGAUUUGUCCCCUGUCAUCUCAGCAAGAAGGGAAUCCCCCACCAUGGGCAAUGCCUCUUACGGCAUGGCGCAGACAUGAUGAGGCAGCCAAGUCCUCAUUAAUGUCAUGAUUACAGUGACAAGUCUGCUGGGGGCCUGAAGGCACCCGAUUUGCCCUCCAAGUACUUGCAAGUAGAAAUCCUUCAUGCGCUCUCUGGCCACAGAACAGAGAGUCCUAGAACAAAGCCUGUUUUGAUCUUUUGUCUUGGCGCGGGGUGAGACCGUAUCUCCAGCAUAAACUACGCUGCUUGGAUUGUUUGCAUGCCCUCAGUAAAAAAGGAAAACACAACCAAGUGGUUUGGUUAGUUUUGGCAUGCACAACUCAGGGUGGGAAAUUCCCUCCGAUUCUGGCUGAUCACCCAGUAUUUAAUUUUUAAAAUAAGUGUGUCAGUUUCAAAAUACCAGAAGUUCUUGCUGAAGGGUAUUCACAAAGAAUGGGACAUCCUGGUGUUUGGAAAAAACAUUCCAGUUCGUUGGCAUCACAGCACUUACUGUAAUGUCAGUGAUAAGAGCAGUGACCACACGGCGGGGUAGGUCCCUAGGGACUCCCAGGGGGGGGAAGCCUCUCCAUUUAUGGUGAAGACGUGGAGAGCUGAUGUGUGAACGUGGACAGCUUGUGCCUGGGGAAGCACCUCCGAGGUGUCCCGGGGUUGAGAUCAGCGAGCCCCAAGGAACUGCCUUCAGCCUCAGGGGCCAUGGGUCCUUGCCCACCAGUUAUCCCAUCUAGUUUUGAAGUCCACUGUCUGCUCUUGGGCAGACCUUGGGCCUAGCUUUGGGAAGCUUCUGACUUGCUGGUGUGAGGUGCACCAACUUGGGGGGCCUCUAGGUUUUGCUUCCUAAGUUAGAGCCUAUGACUUGGUACAUUGCCUGACAAUGGUCCGGUCCCCGGCAACCCCCACUUGGGGCCACAGACAUCAUGCAUUGGCAUCCACGGGGCACUGGCUUAAAAGUUCAGCAUUUAGCCCCACCCUGGACGUAGCGAAUCCGACCCUGCAUCUUAACAGGAACCCCGGGGCGAUUCAUUUGCACGUUUCAGUUUUCCAAGCCCCGUGCUGGAACACCUUCAACAGAGGCGUACCAUCCUGUACACCCAUGAGACAGAUGAACCAUCUGCUUAGUUUGGUUGUAAGAAGACUUAAUUCAGGAAGCUUGAUGGGUACAAUCAGAACUUCGUCUAGAUAUAGACAGAGAGAGAGAGAGAGCUAGAGAGAGAGAGAGCGUUGAUGGAGAUAGAGAUAGAGAGGUAGGGAUAGAGAUCUCCUACGUAUAGGCACACACGUACAUAAAAAAUUCAUCCACGAUAGUUUUUCCAUAUGCUUUCUGAAAUAGCACAAUUAAUACCAGACAGAGUGUGCUAAAAGUCUUUCUGGUAGCAGCUCUGAAAAGUAUUUUGCCGAGGGCAGGACAGCAAGGAACCUUCUGCACAAUCAGACGCCGUAAACCAAAUGGGAGUCCAGAUGGCCAGCAACCUCUGCUUUCCUCUCUGCUUUCUUCAGGUUCCUCUGCCAACUCGAGGGCACACGUAGGGGCACGUUCAAAUGACCCAGGUCCUUCUGGAGUUCCCAAAUGUGGCUCGCGCGCAGUGGGCGGGGCCGGCUCGAAGCUGGACGUUUCAUUCCUUCUUGGAAGACGAGGUCAUAAUUCAGUUGCAGUCAUCAUUUUCCAAUUCCUCUCUAAUAUUUAUGUGAAAACUCCUUUACUUGGCUUCCUUGAUGCCCUUAAAUGUCAUCACCCUGGGGCGCCUGGGUGGCUCAGUCGGUGGAGCGUCCACCCUCGGCUCAGGUCACGAUCUCAUGGUUCGUGGGUUCGAGCCAUGCGUCAGGCUCUGUGCUGACAGCUCGGAGUCUGGGGCCCGCUUCGGAUUCUGUGUCUCCCUCUCUCGGCCCCUCCCCCACUCAUGCUCUGUCUCUCUCUGUCUCAGAAAUAAAUAUGCAUUAAAAAAAAUUUAAAUGUCA
rnacentral:lncRNA from 1 species